rnacentral:rRNA from 1 species
UACAGAGGUCUCAAGCGUUGUUCGGAUUCAUUGGGCGUAAAGGGUGCGUAGGCGGCGCGGUAAGUCGGGUGUGAAAUCUCGGAGCUUAACUCCGAAACUGCAUUCGAUACUGCCGUGCUUGAGGACUGGAGGAGGACGACUGAAUUUACGGUGUAGCGGUGAAAUGCGUAGAUAUCGUAAGGAAGACCAGUGGCCGAAGGCGGGUCUCUGGACAGUUCCUGACGCUGAGGCACGAAGGUCAGGGGAGCAAACGGG